CUGGCAACUACAAGGAUAGUGUUUGUAAUUGGAGAUUGCCUCUUUUGGAGUGUUUGGUGAGCCUGAUCCUCAAAAAGAGGGAUUAUAGAGGGAAAACUGGACUGAAUACUUUGAACUAAUCUACAUGGGAGCCGAUCUCAUUUCUGUGAUCACGGAGAGAGAAAGAGAAUGAGUCAACUGUGUUGACUACUUUCUUUUAUCCCCUCUUAUCACUUUGUUGAACGAGAAAAGUAUGUCUGCCUGCUGUUCAAGUGUACAAGUGAUACACAAACAGAAAUGGCAGCUUGAUUGGAACUAGGUGCUGACAGGGAAGGACUUGAAUGGGGAAAGCUGCAGCCAGAUUGAAGCAGUUAGUGAAAUACAGUUAUAGAGACCUUGAUGAUGCAUCCUGGACUAUUCUGGGAGAAGAUUUGCUGCUGUUAGAUCAGCUGUGUGUACAAGGUAGCCUGGAAUCUGAAUGCAAAAGGAAACUUCCAAACAUUUUCUUAAGGCUCAAGCCAUAAAUGAAUGAACUUUUUUUUUUUUUUUUUUUACUAAAUUAAGUGUUAUUAGACAAUUUUUCUGUUGAUCUUUGCAGUAUGUAUUCAAUUACACAGAUACAUACAGACAUAUGCACGUACAUAACACACAAUUGUUUAAUAAAUGGACUAGUACAUGAAGUUUACAAGUGAGACGACACAUUCAUUUACCAUGAUCUUUUUUAAGCCUUCCUAUCCUAAGGAAACUGCUGAAUAGGUCACGGUAUGAAAAUAGUGUAAGGCAACCGAAGGACUAGAUUCUGUGCACAGAGUGUAUUGUGUAAAUCCUACCUAACUCAAUUGAUUUCAGUAGUUUAAAAUUAGAUUAAACUGUUGUUGUUGAUGAACGUGUAUCUGCUGUGGACAAGAUAUUAAUUUGUCCAAAAUCUUAGCACGAAGGAGUAGUCUUGA